CGAAUGCUGACAUAAGUAACGAUAAAGCGGGUGAAAAGCCCGCUCGCCGGAAGACCAAGGGUUCCUGUCCAACGUUAAUCGGGGCAGGGUGAGUCGACCCCUAAGGCGAGGCCGAAAGGCGUAGUCGAUGGGAAACAGGUUAAUAUUCCUGUACUUGGUGUUACUGCGAAGGGGGGACGGAGAAGGCUAUGUUGGCCGGGCGACGGUUGUCCCGGUUUAAGCGUGUAGGCUGGUUUUCCAGGCAAAUCCGGAAAAUCAAGGCUGAGGCGUGAUGACGAGGCACUACGGUGCUGAAGCAACAAAUGCCCUGCUUCCAGGAAAAGCCUCUAAGCAUCAGGUAACAUCAAAUCGUACCCCAAACCGACACAGGUGGUCAGGUAGAGAAUACCAAGGCGCUUGAGAGAACUCGGGUGAAGGAACUAGGCAAAAUGGUGCCGUAACUUCGGGAGAAGGCACGCUGAUAUGUAGGUGAAGCGACUUGCUCGUGGAGCUGAAAUCAGUCGAAGAUACCAGCUGGCUGCAACUGUUUAUUAAAAACACAGCACUGUGCAAACACGAAAGUGGACGUAUACGGUGUGACGCCUGCCCGGUGCCGGAAGGUUAAUUGAUGGGGUUAGCGGUAACGCGAAGCUCUUGAUCGAAGCCCCGGUAAACGGCGGCCGUAACUAUAACGGUCCUAAGGUAGCGAAAUUCCUUGUCGGGUAAGUUCCGACCUGCACGAAUGGCGUAAUGAUGGCCAGGCUGUCUCCACCCGAGACUCAGUGAAAUUGAACUCGCUGUGAAGAUGCAGUGUACCCGCGGCAAGACGGAAAGACCCCGUGAACCUUUACUAUAGCUUGACACUGAACAUUGAGCCUUGAUGUGUAGGAUAGGUGGGAGGCUUUGAAGUGUGGACGCCAGUCUGCAUGGAGCCGACCUUGAAAUACCACCCUUUAAUGUUUGAUGUUCUAACGUUGGCCCCUGAUCGGGGUUGCGGACAGUGUCUGGUGGGUAGUUUGACUGGGGCGGUCUCCUCCUAAAGAGUAACGGAGGAGCACGAAGGUUGGCUAAUCCUGGUCGGACAUCAGGAGGUUAGUGCAAUGGCAUAAGCCAGCUUGACUGCGAGCGUGACGGCGCGAGCAGGUGCGAAAGCAGGUCAUAGUGAUCCGGUGGUUCUGAAUGGAAGGGCCAUCGCUCAACGGAUAAAAGGUACUCCGGGGAUAACAGGCUGAUACCGCCCAAGAGUUCAUAUCGACGGCGGUGUUUGGCACCUCGAUGUCGGCUCAUCACAUCCUGGGGCUGAAGUAGGUCCCAAGGGUAUGGCUGUUCGCCAUUUAAAGUGGUACGCGAGCUGGGUUUAGAACGUCGUGAGACAGUUCGGUCCCUAUCUGCCGUGGGCGCUGGAGAACUGAGGGGGGCUGCUCCUAGUACGAGAGGACCGGAGUGGACGCAUCACUGGUGUUCGGGUUGUCAUGCCAAUGGCACUGCCCGGUAGCUAAAUGCGGAAGAGAUAAGUGCUGAAAGCAUCUAAGCACGAAACUUGCCCCGAGAUGAGUUCUCCCUGAGACUUUAAGUCUCCUGAAGGA
rnacentral:rRNA from 1 species